rnacentral:rRNA from 1 species
UAAGUUCCUUGAACAGGACGUCAGAGAAGGUGAGAAUCCCGUCUUGGGCGGGCGGCCCGCGCCCGUGUGAAGCUCCUUCGACGAGUCGAGUUGUUUGGGAAUGCAGCUCUAAGCGGGUGGUAAAUUUCAUCUAAAGCUAAAUACCGGCCGGAGACCGAUAGCGCACAAGUAGAGUGAUCGAAAGGUUAAAAGCACCUUGAAAAGGGAGUUAAACAGCACGUGAAAUUGUUGAAAGGGAAGCGCUUGCGGCCAGACUCGGGGGGCGGGGUUCAGCGGGCGCUCGUCGCCCGUGCACUGCCCGCUCCCCGGGCCAGCAUCAGCUUCGACGGCCGGUCAAAGGCCCCCGGAAUGUGUCGUCUCUAGGGACGUCUUAUAGCCGGGGGUGCAAUGCGGCCCGUCGAGACUGAGGAACGCGCUCCGGCUCGGAUGCUGGCGUAAGGCC